CGUCAGUGAUCUGUUGUGGGGUGUUAGUGAAUGCAUCUGCAUGGGUGUGGUGGUCAGUUCAUAUGUGGGUGUCAGUGUUGUUUGAGGGCGUGGUGGUCAAU